UCCCCUGUGGCUUAGUUGGUAGAGCAUGGUGUUUGCAACGCCAGAGUUGUGGGUUCGAUUCCCACGGGGGAC
rnacentral:tRNA from 1 species